AAUGAACGUUGGCGGCAUGGAUUAGGCAUGCAAGUCGAGCGAGAAGUGUAGCUAUACACGGAAAGCGGCGGAAGGGAGAGUAAUACGUGGGAAUCUGCCCUUAGACCUGGGAUAGCAGCGGGAAACUGCUGGUAAUACCAGAUAAUGUCUAUGGACCAAAGGUGUGAUUCCGUCUAGGGAUGAGCCCACGUCCUAUUAGCUAGUUGGUAGGGUAAUGGCCUACCAAGGCGAUGAUGGGUAGCGGGUGUGAGAGCAUGACCCGCCUCACUGGGACUGAGACACUGCCCAGACACCUACGGGUGGCUGCAGUCGAGAAUCUUCGGCAAUGGGCGCAAGCCUGACCGAGCGAUGCCGCGUGCGGGAUGAAGGCCUUCGGGUUGUAAACCGCUGUCGAGGGGGAGCAACUUCCAUAGGGUUAUCUUUAUGGAUUGAGUGGUCCCUGGAGGAAGGACGGGCUAAGUUCGUGCCAGCCGCCGCAGUAAAAC
rnacentral:rRNA from 1 species